UGGCGGCGUGCUUCAUACAUGCAAUCGAACGAGAAUCAAUUCGGUUGUGAAAGUGGCGGACGGUGAGUAAAAUGUAGAGAAUCUGCCCUAGAGAGUGGGACAACAGAGGAAACUUUCUGCUAAUACCGCAUAUGCGCGUAGCUGAGAUGCUAUUCGUGAAAACUCCGGUGCUCUGGGAUGAGUCUGCAUCUGAUUAGCUAGUUGGCGGUGUAAUGGACCACCAAGGCGACGAUCAGUAGCUGGUUUGAGAGGAUGAUCAGCCACAAUGGGACUGAGACACGGCCCAUACUCCUACGGGAGGCAGCAGUAGGGAAUUUUGCGCAAUGGGCGAAAGCCUGACGCAAGCAACGCCGCGUGACCGAUGAAGCCCUUCGGGGUUGUAAAGGUCUGUCAGUGGGGACGAAACUUGACGGUACCCACAGAGGAAGCAUCGGCUAACUCCGUGCCAGCAGCAGC
rnacentral:rRNA from 1 species